UAUACUUAAUAAAUAUAACAAUAAAGUUUAAAGGACGCGGUAUUUUGACCGUGAUAAUGUAGCAUAAUCACUCGCCAUUUAAUUGAUGGAUAGUAUGAAAGGUGAAACGAGUAUAACACUGUCUUAAACAAAAACUUUAUGAAAUUGGAUUAAUAGUGAAGAUACUAUUUAAAACUGUAAGACGAGAAGACCCUAUAGAGCUUAACUAUAACUCUUCAAAUUACCUAAAUUUAUUUAGUUAAAGAGAGAGAUAGGUAGUUUAGUUGGGGCGACUACUUUCUAUAUUUAACGAAAGUAAACAUAAAUUAAUCGCAAAAAAUUUACUGUAUAUUUAAUAAAAUUAACAGUUAUAAAAAUAGGUGAUAAUGACCCGUUAAAAAUCUAUAAGAAUAUUAACGAUCAAUAAAUAAAAGCUACCUUAGGGAUAACAGGACAAUUUUAUCCUAGAGAUCUUAUCGAAGACAAAGUUUGUCACCUCUAUGUUGAAUUAGGAUAUCCUAAGAAUGCAGAAGUUCUUAAGGGUAGGUCUGUUCGACCUAUAAAAUCCUACAUGAUUUGAGU
rnacentral:rRNA from 1 species